rnacentral:rRNA from 1 species
GACGAACGCUGGCGGCGUGCUUAACACAUGCAAGUCGAACGAAGAGCGACGGAAGCUUGCUUCUAUCAAUCUUAGUGGCGAACGGGUGAGUAACGCGUAAUCAACCUGCCCUUCAGAGGGGGACAACAGUUGGAAACGACUGCUAAUACCGCAUACGAUCUAACCUCGGCAUCGAGGAUAGAUGAAAGGUGGCCUCUACAUGUAAGCUAUCACUGAAGGAGGGGAUUGCGUCUGAUUAGCUAGUUGGAGGGGUAACGGCCCACCAAGGCGAUGAUCAGUAGCCGGUCUGAGAGGAUGAACGGCCACAUUGGGACUGAGACACGGCCCAGACGCCUACGGGAGGCAGCAGUGGGGAAUCUUCCGCAAUGGACGAAAGUCUGACGGAGCAACGCCGCGUGAGUGAUGACGGCCUUCGGGUUGUAAAGCUCUGUUAAUCGGGACGAAAGGCCUUCUUGCGAAUAGGGAGAAGGAUUGACGGUACCGGAAUAGAAAGCCACGGCUAACUACGUG